UCUUUGAUUUCUGGACAUGUC
rnacentral:miRNA from 1 species